AUCCAUCUUGAAUUAAUUUUUGUAUAAGGUGUAAGGAAGGGAUCCAGUUUCGGCUUUCCACAUAUGGCUAGCCAGCUUUCCACCACCAUUUAUUAAAUAGGGAAUCCUUUCCCCAUUUCUUGUUUUUGUCAGGUUUGUCAAAGAUCAGAUAGUUGUAGAUAUGUGGCAUUAUUUCUGAGGGCUCUGUUCUGUUCCAUUGAUCUAUAUCUCUGUUUUGGUACCAGUACCAUGAUGUUUUGGUUACUGUAGCCUUGUAGUAUAGUUUGAAGUCAGGUAGUGUGAUGCCUCCAGUUUUGUUCUUUUGGCUUAGGGUUGACUUGGCAAUGAGGGCUCUUUUUUGGUUCCAUAUGAACUUUAAAGUAGUUUUUUCCAAUUCUGUGAAGAAAGUCAUUGGUAGCUUCAUGGGGAUGGCACUGAAUGUAUAAAUUACCUCGGGCAGUAUGGCCAUUUUCACGAGAUUGAUUCUUCCUACCCAUGAGCAUGGAAUGUUCUUCCAUUUCUUUGUAUCCUCUUUUAUUUCGUUGAGCAGUGGUUUGUAAUUCUCCCUGAAGAGGUCCUUCACAUCCCUUGUAAGUUCGAUUCCUAGGUAUUUUAUUCUCUUUGAAGCAAUUGUGAAUGGGAGUUCACUCAUGAUUUGGCUCUCUGUUUGUCUGUUAUUAGUGUAUAAGAAUGCUUGUGAUUUUUGCACAUUGAUUUUGUAUCCUGAAACUCUGCUGAAGUUGCUUAUCAGCUUAAGGAGAUUUUGGGCUGAGACAAUGGGGUUUUCUAGAUAUACAAUCAUGUCAUCUGCAAACAGGGACAAUUUGACUUCCUCUUUUCCUAAUUGAAUACCCUUUAUUUCCUUCUCCUGCUUGAUUGCCCUGGCCAGAACUUCCAACACUAUGUUGAAUAGGAGUGGUGAUUUUUGCAAUCUACUCAUCUGACAAAGGGCUAAUAUCCAGAAUCUACAAAGAACUCAAACUAAUUUACAAGAAAAAAACAACCCAAUCAACAAGUGGGCUAAGGAUAUGAAAAGACCCUUCUCAAAAGAAGACAUUUAUGCAGCCAGAAGACACAUGAAAAAAUGCUCAUCAUCACUGGCCAUCAGAGAAAUGCAAAUCAAAACCACAAUGAGAUACCAUUUCACACCAGUUAGAAUGGCGAUCAUUAAAAAGUCAGGGAACAAUGGGUGCUGGAGAGGAUGUGGAGAAAUAGGAACACUUUUACACUGUUGGUGGAAGUGUAAACUCGUUCAACCAUUGUGGAAGUCAAUGUGGCGAUUCCUCAGGGAUCUAGAACUAGAAAUACCAUUUGACCCAGCCAUCCCAUUACUGGGUAUAUACCCAAAGGAUUAUAAAUCAUGCUGCUAUAAAGACACAUGCACACAUAUGUUUAUUGCAGCACUAUUCACAAUAGCAAAGACUUGGAACCAACCCAAAUGUCCAACAAUGGUAGACUGGAUUAAGAAAAUGUGGCACAUAUACACCAUGGAAUACUAUGCAGUCAUAAAAAGGAUGAGUUCAUGUCCUUUGUAGGAACAUGGAUGUAGUUGGAAACCAUCAUUCUCAGCAAACUAUUGCAAGGACAAAAACCAAACACCACAUGUUCUCACUCAUAGGUGGGAAAUGAACAAUGAGAACACAUGGACAAAGGAAGGGGAACAUCACACACCAGGGCCUGUUGUGGGGUGCAGGGAGACGGGAGGGAUAGCAUUAGGAGAUAUACCUAAUGUAAAUGACGAGUUAAUGGGUACAGCACACCAACAUGGCACAUGUAUACAUAUGUAACAAACCUGCACAUUGUGCACAUGUACCCUAAAACUUAAAGUAUAAUAAAAAAAAAAGUUCAACAACAACAAAAAAAACAAACUCCUGAGUACAUUUUUCCUGCUGAGCUCUCAAAGAGAUUACAGAAUGAACAAAUCAAGGUUCUUCUGUAAGACUGAAGAGCUGGUUACCACCUUUCCUGGUUAACAUUCAGCAAAAGCAUUUUCUCUCUAAGCCCUGGAACUGGGAUCAGGAUAUUUUCUUUUGUAAAAUUCACUUGUUACUUUCAGACCAAAGUUGUGUUUUACAUAAAUCAUGCGAUCUUGGCACUCCUGAUUGCUUGGUUGAAAAAAUAUUUCUUAAUAAAAAAUAUUUUAAAUUUGCCAUUUU
rnacentral:lncRNA from 1 species